GCCGGGCAUGGUGGCGCGUGCCUGUAAUCCCAGCUACUCAGGAGGCUGAGGCAGGAGAAUUGCUUGAACCUGGGAGGCGGAGGUUGCAGUGAGCUGAGAUUGCACCACUGCACUCCAGCCUGGGCGACAGAGUGAGACUCUGUCUCAA
ensembl:misc_RNA Metazoa_SRP Metazoan signal recognition particle RNA